GCUUUUGUGUUGGAUUAUGCGUAUUUAUUUAUGUGCAAUGUUAGGUUAAAUUUUUUUGUGACAGUGUGUGGUAAAUAGGUUUUGUUAUGAUAUAUAUGAUGACAGGGAUUAGAUACCCCAUUAAUGUAUUUUGUAAAGUUGUUCUAGUUUUGUAACUAAAAUGGUUUGGCAGUGAGCGAUUCUUAUUAGGGGAAUAUGCAUAGUGAAGGAUGGUCCACCUAUUAGUUUACUCUUUUUAUGUUGGUGUAUGUCUGGUUUGA
rnacentral:rRNA from 1 species